CAGAAACCAGGACAGAGAGCUCCCCAGUCAGCUUGAGACUCACUUGUCUUCCAAGUCCUUCACCAUAAUUCACUGUAAUAAAGAAAGACUGAAGGGGAUGACAAGGAGGAUUUGAGGUUGCUCUAGUUGGGACUUUAGCAAAGAAGAUACAACACAGCAUCCCCCACACUACAGCAUGGAUGACUGCCUCAUGCUUCUCAGGGGGGAGCAUGUGUUCAGACCUGUCCUUAGACAUGACAUGAGCAUUUGCAGAUGAAAUGAUGCAUCAGAGGACCACACAGUUAUCAUGAUCAAUAGUGAGUAUAAAAGCCUACCUUGGGAAGUCUGAGUGAGUUUUGGACUCUUCACAUCCCAAAUGGUGCAGAAAUGGCUUGUGAUCAGAUGCCCUUGCAAAUGAGGAGGAGGAAACAGGGGAGGAGACUGGUGUGCAGAAAGGGAGACCAAUAGAAACAUAUAGACAAAUUUCAAAAGUAUUCAGGAAAUAGUUGUGAGUAAAGGGCAGAUUUACUGAAAUUGGACCAGCUACAGGAGAAGAAAACAAGGGCUGAAUUCAUCAGGACAUACUGAACAAAUGCUUUAGACACCGAGAACUGGCCUAUGUCCUCCCCAAAACUCAAUGGCCUGCUACCUAGCUUUCAUCAGAGUUUGCUUAUGGUAUUUUAGUUUAGAUAUUUCAGCUGUACCAGUGUGCAGUCUGUCUUCUGUUGCAUUGCUGUGUUACACAGAUGAAGUGCAAUGAUACACAGCAAACUCAUUGAUCUGUGAAU